rnacentral:rRNA from 1 species
AGCAUUUCAGUUUGCUUGCAAACUGGAGAUGGCGNCCGGCGCACGGGUGAGUAACACGUAUCCAACCUGCCGAUAACUCGGGGAUAGCCUUUCGAAAGAAAGAUUAAUACCCGAUGGCAUAAUUAGACCGCAUGGUCUUAUUAUUAAAGAAUUUCGGUUAUCGAUGGGGAUGCGUUCCAUUAGGCAGUUGGUGAGGUAACGGCUCACCAAACCUUCGAUGGAUAGGGGUUCUGAGAGGAAGGUCCCCCACAUUGGAACUGAGACACGGUCCAAACUCCUACGGGAGGCAGCAGUGAGGAAUAUUGGUCAAUGGACGAGAGUCUGAACCAGCCAAGUAGCGUGAAGGAUGACUGCCCUAUGGGUUGUAAACUUCUUUUAUAUGGGAAUAAAGUUUUCCACGUGUGGAAUUUUGUAUGUACCAUAUGAAUAAGGAUCGGCUAACUCCGUGCCAGCAGCCGCGGUAAUACGGAGGAUCCGAGCGUUAUCCGGAUUUAUUGGGUUUAAAGGGAGCGUAGGUGGACAGUUAAGUCAGUUGUGAAAGUUUGCGGCUCAACCGUAAAAUUGCAGUUGAUACUGGCUGUCUUGAGUACAGUAGAGGUGGGCGGAAUUCGUGGUGUAGCGGUGAAAUGCUUAGAUAUCACGAAGAACUCCGAUUGCGAANGCAGCUCACUGGACUGCAACUGACACUGAUGCUCGAAAGUGUGGGUAUCAAA